rnacentral:rRNA from 1 species
GAAUAUUGGACAAUGGGGGGAACCCUGAUCCAGCCAUGCCGCGUGUGUGAAGAAGGCCUUUUGGUUGUAAAGCACUUUAAGCGAGGAGGAGGCUACUCUAGUUAAUACCUAGGGAUAGUGGACGUUACUCGCAGAAUAAGCACCGGCUACAUCUGGUCCAGCAGCCGCGGUAAUACAGAGGGUGCAAGCGUUAAUCGGAUUUACUGGGCGUAAAGCGCGCGUAGGUGGCCAAUUAAGUCAAAUGUGAAAUCCCCGAGCUUAACUUGGGAAUUGCACUCGAUGCUGGUUGGCUAGAGUAUGGGAGAGGAUGGUAGAAUUCCAGGUGUAGCGGUGAAAUGCGUAGAGAUCUGGAGGAAUACCGAUGGCGAAGGCAGCCAUCUGGCCUAAUACUGACACUGAGGUGCGAAAGCAUGGGGAGCAAACAG